GACAGAGGGUGCAAACGUUGUUCGGAAUUACUGGGCGUAAAGCGCGUGUAGGCGGCAAUACAAGUCGGAUGUGAAAUCCCGCGGCUUAACCGUGGAAGUGCACCCGAAACUGUAUCGCUAGAGUCCCGGAGAGGAUGGUGGAAUACUUGGUGUAGAGGUGAAAUUCGUAGAUAUCAAGUGGAACACCGGUGGCGAAGGCGGCCAUCUGGACGGUAACUGACGCUGAGACGCGAAAGCGUGGGGAGCGAACAGG
rnacentral:rRNA from 1 species